rnacentral:rRNA from 1 species
UGGGGAAUCUUGGACAAUGGGCGCAAGCCUGAUCCAGCCAUGCCGCGUGAGUGAAGAAGGCCUUCGGGUUGUAAAGCUCUUUUACCAGGGACGAUAAUGACGGUACCUGGAGAAUAAGCCCCGGCAAACUUCGUGCCAGCAGCCGCGGUAAUACGAAGGGGGCUAGCGUUGUUCGGAAUUACUGGGCGUAAAGCGCACGUAGGCGGAUUGUUAAGUCAGAGGUGAAAUCCCGGAGCUCAACUUCGGGAACUGCCUUUGAUACUGGCAAUCUAGAGUCCGGAAGAGGUUAGUGGAAUUCCCAGUGUAGAGGUGAAAUUCGUAGAUAUUGGGAAGAACACCAGUGGCGAAGGCGGCUAACUGGUCCGGUACUGACGCUGAGGUGCGAAAGCGUGGGGAGCAAACAGGAUUAGAUACCCUAGUAGUCCCUGAGCGGGCUGGCAAGGCGCAU